UUCUUCACUCCUUUGAUUCUU
rnacentral:piRNA from 1 species